rnacentral:rRNA from 1 species
GGAUUAGAUACCCCGGUAGUCCACGCCCUAAACGAUGUCUACUAGUUGUCGGGGAUUAAUUUCCUUGGUAACGCAGCUAACGCGGGAAGUAGACCGCCUGGGGAGUACGGUCGCAAGAUUAAAACUCAAAGGAAUUGACGGGGACCCGCACAAGCGGUGGAUGAUGUGGAUUAAUUCGAUGCAACGCGAAAAACCUUACCUACGCUUGACAUGUCUGGAAUCCUGUAGAGAUGCGGGAGUGCUCGAAAGAGAGCCAGAACACAGGUGCUGCAUGGCUGUCGUCAGCCCGUGUCGUGAGAUGUUGGGUUAAGUCCCGCAACGAGCGCAACCCUUAUCAUUAGUUGCUACGGAAGGGCACUCUAGUGAGACUGCCGGUGACAAACCGGAGGAAGGU